rnacentral:lncRNA from 1 species
CCCCACAGAGUUCUACAGUAUAGUUCAUUGAGACUGUUUUACAGAAUACUAUUCAGAAUGUAUUUGACGUGUCAAGAUAUUUUGGUUUCUGUAAGGAAGCAUUAUACAGUUCUAUUUUAGUUCCUGUGUUUUUAUUAUGCAACAUAAAAAAGAAAAUACCUUUAAAGGAAAACUGUGAGCCUGUAUUGUAUGGAGUAUGUGUAUUAUGUCUCUGUAUACGCAUAAUAAUGAGUAUGCGUGCCUUUUCAUAUGACUAGUUCUAGCCAGAAAGCAAAGUUCUUAAAAAUAUUUAAGGUUUGUGGCCUGCAGUUCCAGCAUAGAGAUAAACACCAGGAAAUCCUUGGGUAAGUGUUCCCCUAGCAGCUGUGAAGUACAAUUACUAUUUCAUUUUCUCCAGACUUCCUUACCAUAUAUGCUGCUGUUCUCUCCACUUUUAGGGAACGUACAAUCUUCAGCCAGUGCUUGUUCUCUGUCAAGAGAAGAAGGUGCUCUCAAACUGUACAGACUGAUGAACAGUUCCCGUGCUGCACAAGAUGGUUACUGUGUCAACCACUGACUUCUGUGCCUGUCCUGCCUACUGUGCAUGGCUCAUUGAGCCAAAUUGACCAUUCUACAGAAUUUAGAUGAUGCCUAGAAUUAAUUGUGACACACUCAGGCUGUAGUAUGGCCACAAAAUGGUUCAUUUGUAGUUCAUUAUAAUGAUUGUUCAGAUUCAUAGUGGAAAGAGAGGUCAUUACUAUUGUUCUAGUAGAGUAAGGCGCUGUGGUACGACAUAACACGUCAUGCUUUCCCUGACUUUGCAUCAAGACAGAAGAUCUGCUCUGGUCUACUGCCUGCGUCCUGGUAUUUAUCCCUGCUAUUAUCCCCUUGCAUGGAGCUUUCAACUAAGGGUAGAAAAGUCACCCAGUGCCAAGAUGUUACCCAGCACACGUUAGUAGGACAUCAUGUUAAGUGAAGAGUGAAACAGGAGGUACAGCAGGUACAGACACCUAACUUCCAAGGACUCUUGAAAUCAGAGAGGAUGAUAAAGGCUCCAGUAUCCUCCUUCAUCUUGGGAUGCAUUUUGCUGCCCUUCUCAGACUAAUGUGAUGUGAAUCCAUUACACAGCUACUUUUACCUGGCAGGAACGGACGAACAGCAAGGUACCCAAGCAAAGCCAGCACACCCAGGAAAGGCAAUAACCGCAGCCAUUCUGAAACUGAA